UAGAUACCCCACUAUGCCCAGCCCUAAACUUUGAUAGUCCAAAAUACCCACUAUCCGCCCGGGAACUACGAGCUCCAGCUUAAAACCCAAAGGACUUGGCGGUGCUUAAGAUCCGCCUAGAGGAGCCUGUUCUAGAACCGAUAACCCCCGUUAAACCUCACCCUCUCUUGUUUUAACCGCCUAUAUACCGCCGUCGUCAGCUCACCCCGUGAAGGUCAAGUAGUAAGCAGAAUUGGUAAGACCCAAAACGCCAGGUCGAGGUGUAGUGCAUGAGAGGGGAAGAAAUGGGCUACAUUUCCUAACCAGGAAAUACGAAUAAUGUACUGAAACAUACAUUUUAAAGGAGGAUUUAGCAGUAAAUGAAAAACAUGAGUGUUCCAUUGAAAUAGGCUCUAAAGCGCGCACACACCGCCCG
rnacentral:rRNA from 1 species